rnacentral:tRNA from 1 species
GGGGCUGGGGCUCAGUGGUAGAGCGCUCGCCUAGCAUGCGAAAGGCACUGGGUUCGAUCCUCAGCAUCACAU